rnacentral:rRNA from 1 species
CCUACGGGAGGCAGCAGUGGGGAAUCUUGCGCAAUGGGCGAAAGCCUGGCGCAGCGACGCCGCGUGGGGGAAGAAGGCCUUCGGGUUGUAAACCUCUUUCAGCAGGGACGAAGCCACUCGGGUUAAUAGCCCAGAGGGUGACGGUACCUGCAGAAGAAGCCCCGGCUAACUACGUGCCAGCAGCCGCGGUAAUGCGUAGGGGGCAAGCGUUGUCCGGAUUUAUUGGGCGUAAAGAGCGUGUAGGCGGCCAGACAAGUCCGUUGUGAAAACUAGAGGCUUAACCUCUAGACGUCGAUGGAAACUGUUUGGCUAGAGUCCGGAAGAGGAGAAUGGAAUUCCUGGUGUAGCGGUGAAAUGCGCAGAUAUCAGGAAGAACACCCGUGGCUAAGGCGGUUCUCUAGUACGGUACUGACGCUGAGACGCGAAAGCGUGGGGAGCGAACAGGAUUAGAUACCCUGGUAGUCCACGCCGUAAACGAUAGGUGCUAGGUGUGGGGGUGUCGGACUCCCUCCGUGCCGAAGCUAACGCAUAGCNCCCGCCGUCGGAGGUACGGCCGCGACGACGUAAACUUAAACUAGAGUAGACGGCGUGAGACGNGCCGACGGACGACGACGAGGGAGGAGG